GGCUCAGGAUGAACGCUAGCGGCAGGCCUAAUACAUGCAAGUCGAACGGUUUCCAGCAAUGGAGAUAGUGGCGCACGGGUGCGUAACGCGUAACCAACCUACCCGAAUCUGGGGGAUAGCCCGCCGAAAGGCGGAUUAAUACCGCAUAAGACUAUGAGCCGGCAUCGGAUGGUAGUUAAAGAUUUAUUGGAUUCGGAUGGGGUUGCGUGCCAUUAGCUAGUUGGGGGGGUAACGGCCCACCAAGGCGACGAUGGCUAGGGGAGCUGAGAGGCUGGUCCCCCACACGGGCACUGAGAUACGGGCCCGACUCCUACGGGAGGCAGCAGUAGGGAAUAUUGGGCAAUGGAGGAGACUCUGACCCAGCCAUGCCGCGUGCCGGAUGAAGGCCUUCUGGGUCGUAAACGGCUUUUUUCCGGGAAGAACCGGUUCCUUGCGAGGGGCUCUGA
rnacentral:rRNA from 1 species